GACAAACGCUGGCGGCGUGCCUAAGACAUGCAAGUCGAACGAGGGCUUCGGCUCGAGUGGCGGACGGGUGAGGAACGCGUGACCAAUCUGCCCUGGAGUGGGGGAUACCCGCCAGAAAUGGCGGCUAAUACCGCAUACGACCGCUGGCUGUUGGGCCGGUGGGGAAAGCCCGUGAGGGCGCUCGUGGAGGGGGUCGCGUCGGAUUAGCUGGUUGGUGGGGUAACGGCCUACCAAGGCGACGAUCCGUAGCUGGUCUGAGAGGACGGCCAGCCACACU
rnacentral:rRNA from 1 species